GGAUUGAACGCUGGCGGCAUGCCUUACACAUGCAAGUCGAACGGUAGAGUAGCAAUACUUGAGAGUGGCGAACGGGUGAGUAAUAUAUCGGAACGUGCCCAGUCGUGGGGGAUAACGUAGAGAAAUUUACGCUAAUACCGCAUACGAUCUAAGGAUGAAAGCGGGGGACCGUAAGGCCUCGCGCGAUUGGAGCGGCUGAUAUCAGAUUAGGCUGUUGGUGAGGUAAAAGCUCACCAAGCCGACGAUCUGUAGCUGGUUUGAGAGAACGACCAGCCACACUGGGACUGAGACACGGCCCAGACUCCUACGGGAGGCAGCAGUGGGGAAUUUGGACAAUGGGCGAAAGCCUGAUCCAGCAAUGCCGCGUGCAGGAAGAAGGCCUUCGGGUUGUAAACUGCUUUUGUACGGAACGAAACGGUCUGCUUUAAUACAGUGGCUAAUGACGGUACCGUAAGAAUAAGACACCGGCUAACUACGUGCCAGCAGCCGCGGUAA
rnacentral:rRNA from 1 species